CUCCCUGGUGUCUCCAUUCCCAUCUUCAUCUGUGAGAACAAUGGAUGGAUGGGGGUGAGGGGUGCAGGGGG
rnacentral:pre_miRNA from 1 species